rnacentral:rRNA from 1 species
GAAGGGGGGCGAGCGUUAUUCGGGAAUCACUGGGGCGUAAAGAGUACGUAGGUGGCAAUUUAAGUCAGUCGUUAAAUAUCACGGGCUUAACCGUGAAGAUGCGAUUGAUACUGGAUAGCUAGAGGGCAAGAGAGAGAAGUGGAAUUCCCGGAGUAGCGGUAAAAUGCGUAGAUCUCGGGAGGAACACCGAUUGCGAAGGCAGCUUCUUGGCUUGCUUCUGACACUGAGGUACGAAAGCGUGGGGAGCAAACAGGAUUAGAUACCCUGGUAGUCCACGCCGUAAACGAUGGUCACUAGAUGUGGGUUGGCUUCGCGCCGAUCUGUGUCGUAGCUAACGCGUUAAGUGAUCCGCCUGGGGAGUACGAUCGCAAGAUUA